UACGUAGGGACCGAGCGUUGUCCGGAAUCAUUGGGCGUAAAGCGUGCCGAUAGGUGGUUUUAUUAGUCUUGGGUAAAAGCCAGAAGCUCAACUUCUGAGUUUGCUUAAGAUACUGUAAAACUAGAGGGGCAAAGAGGUGCUUGGAACGAAUGGUGUAGUAGUGAAAUGCGUUGAUAUCAUUCGGAACACCGAAAGCGAAGGCAGAGCACUGGGUGCCACCUGACACUGCUAGGACGAAAGCGUGGGGAGCGAAUGGG
rnacentral:rRNA from 1 species